UGGUACAUACGGCGAGUUAGCCA
rnacentral:siRNA from 1 species